rnacentral:rRNA from 1 species
ACCGGGGGAACUGAAACAUCUAAGUACCCCGAGGAAAAGAAAUCAACCGAGAUUCCCCCAGUAGCGGCGAGCGAACGGGGAGGAGCCCAGAGCCUGAAUCAGUGUGUGUGUUAGUGGAAGCGUCUGGAAAGGCGUGCGAUACAGGGUGACAGCCCCGUACACAAAAAUGCACAUAUUGUGAGCUCGAUGAGUAGGGCGGGACACGUGGUAUCCUGUCUGAAUAUGGGGGGACCAUCCUCCAAGGCUAAAUACUCCUGACUGACCGAUAGUGAACCAGUACCGUGAGGGAAAGGCGAAAAGAACCCCGGCGAGGGGAGUGAAAAAGAACCUGAAACCGUGUACGUACAAGCAGUGGGAGCCUCUUAAUGGGGUGACUGCGUACCUUUUGUAUAAUGGGUCAGCGACUUAUAUUCUGUAGCAAGGUUAACCGAAUAGGGGAGCCGAAGGGAAACCGAGUCUUAACUGGGCGUUAAGUUGCAGGGUAUAGACCCGAAACCCGGUGAUCUAGCCAUGGGCAGGUUGAAGGUUGGGUAACACUAACUGGAGGACCGAACCGACUAAUGUUGAAAAAUUAGCGGAUGACUUGUGGCUGGGGGUGAAAGGCCAAUCAAACCGGGAGAUAGCUGGUUCUCCCCGAAAGCUAUUUAGGUAGCGCCUCGUGAAUUCAUCUCCGGGGGUAGAGCACUGUUUCGGCAAGGGGGUCAUCCCGACUUACCAACCCGAUGCAAACUGCGAAUACCGGAGAAUGUUAUCACGGGAGACACACGGCGGGUGCUAACGUCCGUCGUGAAGAGGGAAACAACCCAGACCGCCAGCUAAGGUCCCAAAGUCAUGGUUAAGUGGGAAACGAUGUGGGAAGGCCCAGACAGCCAGGAUGUUGGCUUAGAAGCAGCCAUCAUUUAAAGAAAGCGUAAUAGCUCACUGGUCGAGUCGGCCUGCGCGGAAGAUGUAACGGGGCUAAACCAUGCACCGAAGCUGCGGCAGCGACACUAUGUGUUGUUGGGUAGGGGAGCGUUCUGUAAGCCUGUGAAGGUGGCCUGUGAGGGUUGCUGGAGGUAUCAGAAGUGCGAAUGCUGACAUAAGUAACGAUAAAGCGGGUGAAAAGCCCGCUCGCCGGAAGACCAAGGGUUCCUGUCCAACGUUAAUCGGGGCAGGGUGAGUCGACCCCUAAGGCGAGGCCGAAAGGCGUAGUCGAUGGGAAACAGGUUAAUAUUCCUGUACUUGGUGUUACUGCGAAGGGGGGACGGAGAAGGCUAUGUUGGCCGGGCGACGGUUGUCCCGGUUUAAGCGUGUAGGCUGGUUUUCCAGGCAAAUCCGGAAAACCAAGGCUGAGGCGUGAUGACGAGGCACUACGGUGCUGAAGCGACAAAUGCCCUGCUUCCAGGAAAAGCCUCUAAGCAUCAGGUAACAUCAAAUCGUACCCCAAACCGACACAGGUGGUCAGGUAGAGAAUACCAAGGCGCUUGAGAGAACUCGGGUGAAGGAACUAGGCAAAAUGGUGCCGUAACUUCGGGAGAAGGCACGCUGAUAUGUAGGUGAAGCGACUUGCUCGUGGAGCUGAAAUCAGUCGAAGAUACCAGCUGGCUGCAACUGUUUAUUAAAAACACAGCACUGUGCAAACACGAAAGUGGACGUAUACGGUGUGACGCCUGCCCGGUGCCGGAAGGUUAAUUGAUGGGGUUAGCGGCAACGCGAAGCUCUUGAUCGAAGCCCCGGUAAACGGCGGCCGUAACUAUAACGGUCCUAAGGUAGCGAAAUUCCUUGUCGGGUAAGUUCCGACCUGCACGAAUGGCGUAAUGAUGGCCAGGCUGUCUCCACCCGAGACUCAGUGAAAUUGAACUCGCUGUGAAGAUGCAGUGUACCCGCGGCAAGACGGAAAGACCCCGUGAACCUUUACUAUAGCUUGACACUGAACAUUGAGCCUUGAUGUGUAGGAUAGGUGGGAGGCUUUGAAGUGUGGACGCCAGUCUGCAUGGAGCCGACCUUGAAAUACCACCCUUUAAUGUUUGAUGUUCUAACGUUGGCCCGUAAUCCGGGUUGCGGACAGUGUCUGGUGGGUAGUUUGACUGGGGCGGUCUCCUCCUAAAGAGUAACGGAGGAGCACGAAGGUUGGCUAAUCCUGGUCGGACAUCAGGAGGUUAGUGCAAUGGCAUAAGCCAGCUUGACUGCGAGCGUGACGGCGCGAGCAGGUGCGAAAGCAGGUCAUAGUGAUCCGGUGGUUCUGAAUGGAAGGGCCAUCGCUCAACGGAUAAAAG